CCCUUAGAUGUUCUGGGCCGCACGCGCGCUACACUGAUGCAUUCAACAAGCCUAGCCUUGACCGAGAGGUCCGGGUAAUCUUUGAAACUGCAUCGUGAUGGGGCUAGAUUAUUGCAAUUAUUAAUCUUCAACGAGGAAUGCCUAGUAAGCGUGAUUCAUCAAAUCGCGUUGAUUACGUCCCUGCCCUUUGUACACACCGCCCGUCGCUCCUACCGAUUGAAUGUGUUGGUGAUGAGCUCGGAUUGGCAGCAGUUGGUGGUUCGCCACCGGCUAUUGCUGAGAAGUCCUCCAAACCGCCCCAUUUAGAGGAAGGAGAAGUCGUAACA
rnacentral:rRNA from 1 species